GACGAACGCUGGCGGCAUGCCUAACACAUGCAAGUCGAACGGAGAUUAUUUCGGUAGUCUUAGUGGCGAACGGGUGAGUAACGCGUGGGCAACCUGCCCUCUAGAUGGGGACAACAUCCCGAAAGGGGUGCUAAUACCGAAUGUGACAGCAAUCUCGCAUGAGGAUGCUGUGAAAGAUGGCCUCUAUUUAUAAGCUAUCGCUAGAGGAUGGGCCUGCGUCUGAUUAGCUAGUUGGUGGGGUAACGGCCUACCAAGGCGAUGAUCAGUAGCCGGUCUGAGAGGAGGCACGGCCACAUUGGGACGGAGACACGGCCCAGCCUACUACGGGAGGCAGCAGUGGGGAAUCUUCCGCAAAGGGCGAAAGCCUGACGGAGCAAUGCCGCGCGAGUGCUGAAGGAAUUCAUGCCGUGAAGCUCAUUUGUUUAUGACGAAUGUGCAGCUUGUGAACAAUGAUCUGUAAUGACGGUAGUAAACGAAUAAGCCACGGCUAACUACGUG
rnacentral:rRNA from 1 species